CUACGGGCCGCUGCAGUGGGGAAUAUUGGACAAUGGGGGGAACCCUGAUCCAGCCAUGCCGCGUGUGUGAAGAAGGCCUUUUGGUUGUAAAGCACUUUAAGCAGUGAAGAAGACUCCUCGGUUAAUACCCGGGGACGAUGACAUUAGCUGCAGAAUAAGCACCGGCUAACUCUGUGCCAGCAGCCGCGGUAAUACAGAGGGUGCAAGCGUUAAUCGGAAUUACUGGGCGUAAAGCGAGCGUAGGUGGCUUGAUAAGUCAGAUGUGAAAUCCCCGGGCUUAACCUGGGAACUGCAUCUGAAACUGUUAGGCUGGAGUAGGGGAGAGGGAAGUAGAAUUUCAGGUGUAGCGGUGAAAUGCGUAGAGAUCUGAAGGAAGACCGAUGGCGAAGGCAGCUUCCUGGCAUCAUACUGACACUGAGGCUCGAAAGCGUGGGUAGCAAACAGGAUUAGAUACCCUGGUAGUC
rnacentral:rRNA from 1 species